rnacentral:rRNA from 1 species
UACGGGGGGAGCAAGCGUUGUUCGGAUUUACUGGGCGUAAAGGGCGCGUAGGCGGCCACCGCAAGUCGACUGUGAAAUCUCCGGGCUUAACCCGGAAAGGUCAGCCGAUACUGCGGGGCUAGAGUGCAGAAGGGGCAACUGGAAUUCUCGGUGUAGCGGUGAAAUGCGUAGAUAUCGGAGAACACCAGUGGCGAAGGCGACUACCUGGC